AGAGUUUGAUCCUGGCUCAGGAUGAACGCUGGCGGCGUGCCUAAUACAUGCAAGUCGAGCGAACGGACGAGAAGCUUGCUUCUCUGAUGUUAGCGGCGGACGGGUGAGUAACACGUGGAUAACCUACCUAUAAGACUGGGAUAACUUCGGGAAACCGGAGCUAAUACCGGAUAAUAUUUUGAACCGCAUGGUUCAAAAGUGAAAGACGGUCUUGCUGUCACUUAUAGAUGGAUCCGCGCUGCAUUAGCUAGUUGGUAAGGUAACGGCUUACCAAGGCAACGAUGCAUAGCCGACCUGAGAGGGUGAUCGGCCACACUGGAACUGAGACACGGUCCAGACUCCUACGGGAGGCAGCAGUAGGGAAUCUUCCGCAAUGGGCGAAAGCCUGACGGAGCAACGCCGCGUGAGUGAUGAAGGUCUUCGGAUCGUAAAACUCUGUUAUUAGGGAAGAACAUAUGUGUAAGUAACUGUGCACAUCUUGACGGUACCUAAUCAGAAAGCCACGGCUAACUACGUGCCAGCAGCCGCGGUAAUACGUAGGUGGCAAGCGUUAUCCGGAAUUAUUGGGCGUAAAGCGCGCGUAGGCGGUUUUUUAAGUCUGAUGUGAAAGCCCACGGCUCAACCGUGGAGGGUCAUUGGAAACUGGAAAACUUGAGUGCAGAAGAGGAAAGUGGAAUUCCAUGUGUAGCGGUGAAAUGCGCAGAGAUAUGGAGGAACACCAGUGGCGAAGGCGACUUUCUGGUCUGUAACUGACGCUGAUGUGCGAAAGCGUGGGGAUCAAACAGGAUUAGAUACCCUGGUAGUCCACGCCGUAAACGAUGAGUGCUAAGUGUUAGGGGGUUUCCGCCCCUUAGUGCUGCAGCUAACGCAUUAAGCACUCCGCCUGGGGAGUACGACCGCAAGGUUGAAACUCAAAGGAAUUGACGGGGACCCGCACAAGCGGUGGAGCAUGUGGUUUAAUUCGAAGCAACGCGAAGAACCUUACCAAAUCUUGACAUCCUUUGACAACUCUAGAGAUAGAGCUUUCCCCUUCGGGGGACAAAGUGACAGGUGGUGCAUGGUUGUCGUCAGCUCGUGUCGUGAGAUGUUGGGUUAAGUCCCGCAACGAGCGCAACCCUUAAGCUUAGUUGCCAUCAUUAAGUUGGGCACUCUAAGUUGACUGCCGGUGACAAACCGGAGGAAGGUGGGGAUGACGUCAAAUCAUCAUGCCCCUUAUGAUUUGGGCUACACACGUGCUACAAUGGACAAUACAAAGGGCAGCGAAACCGUGNNNNNNAACGUUUGACUUAUAAAAAUGGUGGAAACAUAGAUUAAGUUAUUAAGGGCGCACGGUGGAUGCCUUGGCACUAGAAGCCGAUGAAGGACGUUACUAACGACGAUAUGCUUUGGGGAGCUGUAAGUAAGCUUUGAUCCAG
rnacentral:rRNA from 1 species